rnacentral:rRNA from 1 species
AUUGAACGCUGGCGGCAUGCCUUACACAUGCAAGUCGAACGGCAGCAUGGAGAGCUUGCUCUCUGAUGGCGAGUGGCGAACGGGUGAGUAAUGCAUCGGAACGUACCGUGUAAUGGGGGAUAACGUAGCGAAAGUUACGCUAAUACCGCAUACGACCUGAGGGUGAAAGCAGGGGAUCGCAAGACCUUGCGUUAUACGAGCGGCCGAUGUCAGAUUAGCUAGUUGGUGAGGUAAAGGCUCACCAAGGCGACGAUCUGUAGCGGGUCUGAGAGGAUGAUCCGCCACACUGGGACUGAGACACGGCCCAGACUCCUACGGGAGGCAGCAGUGGGGAAUUUUGGACAAUGGGGGCAACCCUGAUCCAGCCAUGCCGCGUGAGUGAAGAAGGCCUUCGGGUUGUAAAGCUCUUUCGGCCGGGAAGAAAUUGCACAGGCUAAUACUCUGUGUGGAUGACGGUACCUGCAGAAAAAGCACCGGCUAACUACGUGCCAGCCGCCGCAGUAA